GGCAGGACGGAAAGACCCCGGGACCUUUACUACAGUUUUGAUAUUGGGUGUUCGGUUCGGCUUGUGUACGGAUAGCUGGGAGACUGUGAAGCGCUAACGCCAGUUAGUGUGGAGUCGUCGUUGAAAUACCAGUCUGGUCGUGCUGGAUGUCUAACCUGGGUCCGUGAUCCGGAUCAGGGACAGUGUCUGAUGGGUAGUUUAACUGGGGCGGUUGCCUCCUAAAGAGUAACGGAGGCGCCCAAAGGUUCCUCAGCCUGGUUGGCAAUCAGGUGUUGAGUGUAAGUGCACAAGGGAGCUUGACUGUGAGACCGACGGGUCGAGCAGGGCGAAAGUCGGGACUAGUGAUCCGGCGGUGGCUUGUGGAA
rnacentral:ncRNA from 1 species